rnacentral:piRNA from 1 species
UGCAGCCAGUGUCAAGGUGGACACGCAC